CCGACAGAAAAGCAGACUUAUAAAAACACUGUAGUGUGUCCUCAUCUACCUGUCUGCCAGAUGUGCCGCUCUUCAGGCUCUUCCCUGAAGUCCACAUGACUAUAAAAGGCCUGAAGUCAUCUUCUAACUCUUGUCUUCUGACAUGGGUGUCAGGUAGAGGAAAGACAAGCUCCGCAGUCUCAAUGUCUCCGUGGUUUACCUGUGACUCAGGCCCUGAGUCUGCUGUUUUGCCUCAUUUCGUUAGCACUUCUUUCUCCAGCUGGAGGCUGGUCCGAUCUAGAUCCAGGGACACCAUCAUCAGCACUGUCUUCCUACAUCCUAAAAUCCUGUGCUCUCCAAGUCUCAAACCACCGUUGUGUUGAUC
rnacentral:lncRNA from 1 species